GUGCUCACUUUGGCAGCACAUAUACUGCAAUUAGAACAAUACGGAGAAGAUUAGCAUGGCCCCUGCACAAGGAUGACACUCAAAUUUGUGAAAUGUUCCAUAUAUUU
rnacentral:snRNA from 1 species